AGCAGAGAGCUGUGUGAUCUGAAAGGAAGAAAGUCCAAGAGGCCCUGCAGGUGUGAUGUAACCUGGUUUCUAAUUGCCGAGCAGGAACUGCUCCCAGGCAGAGGGCGAGGAGAUGGCUGUGGGUCCCCAGGUCGAAGGUUGCACUCCAUCUGUCCCUGCUGAGGAAGUGCUCCUCCUGGAAAAUGCCUGGAUGGGAGAAGAAGCAUUUAUCUGUCGCUCUGUUCUGCUAACAACUUGGAUCAGGAAGGCUGGAGAACCAUCAGCAGUUCCCAUGCUCUGAGACCAAGGCCACGUCUGGAGCCGGGGGCUGGGUUAGCUGUGCAAGUGUAGGGAGACCCUCCUGCACCCUCUCUGACCACGGGACCCUCGAGCAGAAGUGCCCCAGGCUUCUUGCCUAUAGACAGGAGCGAUUUGGCAGCGCAGCCAGGUAGGCUGAAUCGUGCUUAGCUGUUCUACAGGGAUUUUCCUUUGCUUGGAAACCGGCUGGA